GACGAACCGUGCAAACGUUGUUCGGAAUCACUGGGCUUAAAGGGCGCGUAGGCGGCUUGCCAAGUCAGGGGUGAAAUCUUUCGGCUUAACCGGAAAAGUGCCUUUGAUACUGGCAGGCUGGAGGGAGGUAGGGGCGUGUGGAACUUCCGGUGGAGCGGUGAAAUGCGUUGAUAUCGGAAGGAACGCCGGUGGCGAAAGCGACGUGCUGGACCUCUUCUGACGCUGAGGCGCGAAAGCUAGGGGAGCAAACGGG
rnacentral:rRNA from 1 species